rnacentral:lncRNA from 1 species
UUGGACUUAGAGAAGUAAUACAUAAGUCAGAAAUGACUUAUGCUGAAAUCGGAAUGAAAACAGAAGAUCUAGAAUUUUCUGUUGGAAACGGGACAGAUAAAUUAGCAGAAAAUGCACAGUCUCAGAAAAUUAUGAAAAUUGGAGGAUAAGUCAGAAAUAUAUUUAUGAGGCUAGAUUUAAAGUUUCAUAUUUUUCUGACACCCGUAGAGUGAGAAAUAAAAUUCGAUAGCUAUCUGAUAAAGAUUACAGUUCGGUACAGUUUUCGGUGACCAAAUGGAGUCGAAACUGAAAACUUAAGAUAUAUUCUUACUCAGUACGUUAAACUGAGCCCGCUUGUCAAAUUUGAGCGAAAACGGACAUCCGGAAGGGCUCCAACGAAAUUUAUCAGAUUUCAGGCUGCCCGUAGUGAAUAGUGGUAGUUGAGGGGCAAAAUGGUAAAAUGGGAUUAAAUCCCUUUUUGCUUCUUCUUCCUCCCAGCCGUAGCAGCCCAAACCGCACACAAACACACGCGCAUGGAAGGAAAGAGAGAAGCCUCUCUUUCUCUCUCUAAAUCUCUCCCAAAAAGAAUGGAUUUGGUGGAGAUUGAAGCUUGGAGGUGGAUCACCUUCGUCUUCUUCAUCAUCUCCAUAGUUUGGAGCUCAUUUUGAGGUGAGCUUCUUGAGCCCUUUAAUGGUAGAUCUUUAAUGCUUGGUUUAAAUACCUUAUAAAUGGAUUUAGAGGAGUUCUAGCAUGCUAUCUAGAUGAUUAAUGCUUGAAUCAUGGAUCAAUUUAGUGAUUUCUUGCAUAGUUGAAACCUAGGGCUCCAAAAUGCAAACUUUCAAAAUAUGAGGGUUUGAUCUCAUUUGACCCUUCGUAAACCUAAUUGCUAGAUAACGAAACGCGUUAGCGAAGACGGUUCGGCAAUCC